rnacentral:rRNA from 1 species
CUGGCCCAGCUGAUUGAUGGUGCUUGCACCUGAUUGACCAUGGAUCACCAGUGAGUGGCGGACGGGUGAGUAACACGUAGGUAACCUGCCCCGGAGCGGGGGAUAACAUUUGGAAACAGAUGCUAAUACCGCAUAACAACAAAAGCCACAUGGCUUUUGUUUGAAAGAUGGCUUUGGCUAUCACUCUGGGAUGGACCUGCGGUGCAUUAGCUAGUUGGUAAGGUAACGGCUUACCAAGGCGAUGAUGCAUAGCCGAGUUGAGAGACUGAUCGGCCACAAUGGAACUGAGACACGGUCCAUACUCCUACGGGAGGCAGCAGUAGGGAAUCUUCCACAAUGGGCGCAAGCCUGAUGGAGCAACACCGCGUGAGUGAAGAAGGGUUUCGGCUCGUAAAGCUCUGUUGUUGGAGAAGAACGUGCGUGAGAGUAACUGUUCACGCAGUGACGGUAUCCAACCAGAAAGUCACGGCUAACUACGUGCCAGCAGCCGCGGUAAUACGUAGGUGGCAAGCGUUAUCCGGAUUUAUUGGGCGUAAAGCGAGCGCAGGCGGUUGCUUAGGUCUGAUGUGAAAGCCUUCGGCUUAACCGAAGAAGUGCAUCGGAAACCGGGCGACUUGAGUGCAGAAGAGGACAGUGGAACUCCAUGUGUAGCGGUGGGAUGCGUAGAUAUAUGGAAGAGCACCAGUGGCGAAGGCGGCUGUCUGGUCUGCAACUGACGCUGAGGCUCGAAAGCAUGGGUAGCGAACAGGAUUAGAUACCCUGGUAGUCCAUGCCGUAAA